rnacentral:rRNA from 1 species
CCUACGGGAGGCAGCAGUGGGGAAUUUUGGACAAUGGGGGAAACCCUGAUCCAGCCAUCCCGCGUGUGCGAUGAAGGCCUUCGGGUUGUAAAGCACUUUUGGCAGGGAAGAAACGGCGCCGCCUAAUACGGGGCGUCACUGACGGUACCUGCAGAAUAAGCACCGGCUAACUACGUGCCAGCAGCCGCGGUAAUACGUAGGGUGCAAGCGUUAAUCGGAAUUACUGGGCGUAAAGCGUGCGCAGGCGGUUCGGAAAGAAAGAUGUGAAAUCCCAGAGCUUAACUUUGAAACUGCAUUUUUAACUCCCGAGCUAGAGUAUGUCAGAGGGGGGUAGAAUUCCACGUGUAGCAGUGAAAUGCGUAGAGAUGUGGAGGAAUACCGAUGGCGAAGGCAGCCCCCUGGGAUAAUACUGACGCUCAUGCACGAAAGCGUGGGGAGCAAACAGGAUUAGAUACCCUGGUAGUCCACGCCCUAAACGAUGUCAAC